UAGCCAAGGUCAACCCAACCCAACCCAACCCAAGGUCAACAAAACCCAACUCAACAUCAACCAAGGUCAACCCAACCCAACCCAAGGUCAACCAAGGUCAACCCAACCCAACCCAAGGUCAACCAAGGUCAACCCAACCCAAAAUCAACUCAAGGACAACCCAACCCUUGGUCAACCCAACCAAUGGUCAGCAAGGCCAAAGCAACCAUACGACCAACGCGAGUCAAGGCCGGACAAUCGAUGGUCAAUGUCAAGACCAACCCAACGGUCAGCUCAAGACCAACUCAACGGUCAUCUCAAGACCAACCCAACGGUCAGCUCAAGACCAACCCAGUGGUCAUCUCAAGACCAACCCAAUGGUCAUCUGAAGAUCAAGACCCAACCCAACGGUCAUCUCAAGAUCAACCCAAUGGUCAGCUCAAGAUCAACCCAAUGGUCACCAGAAGAUCAACCCAAUGGUCAGCUCAAGAUCAAGACCACCCCAGUGGUCAGCCCAAUUAACCGUUCACAAAAUCAAGACCAACCCAACGGUCAUCUCCAUCAAUGGUCAGCAGAACCAAGACCAACGGUCAGCCCAGGUCAAGGCAACGUCAAGUCAAGGUCAACCAACCAAUGGUCAAGAUCAAGCCAUGGGUGAGACCAAGCCAUGGUUGAGACCAAACUCAAGUCAAGACCAAGCCAUGGCCGAGACCAACCCAAAAACCAAGACAAACUCAAGACCAAUCCAAGGUCAAAACAAACCCAAAGUCAAGACCAACUCAUGGUCAAGAUCAACCAGCCCAAAGUCGAGACCAAGCCAUGGCCAAGACCAACCCAAAGUCAAGACCGACUCAAGGUCAAGACCAAUCCAUGGCCAAAACCAACCCAAAAACCAACUCAAACUCAAGACCAACCAAUGGCCAAAACCAACCCAUCGCGAAGACCAACCCAAAGUCAAGACCAACUCAUGGUCAAGACCAACCCAAAAACCAACCCAAAGU
rnacentral:lncRNA from 1 species